AGUAUGUCAUGUUGCGAAAAAUUAGCAAUGUUUUUAAAUAUCUUGGCUCAUCAUGAGAAAAAUAGAUCCAUCAAGGUAGAUUAUAUUAGAUCGGGAUGGAGCGUAAGUCAUGCUUUUAAUGAAUGCUUGAGUGCUAUUCUCAAACUAACUCCAUUGCUACUUGUUAAUCCUAAACCGGUACUUGAGGAUGAGAUUGAAGAUCGAUGGAAAUGGUUUGAGGGUUGUUUAGGUGCGCUAGAUGGUACUUACAUUCCCAUUAGAGUUCCAAUCCAACACAAACCAAGAUAUAGAACAAGAAAA